GGCCUGAUGGUCUAGUAGUAUGAUUCCUUGUUAGGGUUUGCAUAUAUCUCGCUGACUUUCGAGGAGGUCCCGGGUUCAAUUCCCGGUCAGGCCC